rnacentral:rRNA from 1 species
GACGAACGCUGGCGGCGUGCUUAACACAUGCAAGUCGAACGGAAAGGCCCUGCUUGCCGGGUACUCGAGUGGCGAACGGGUGAGUAACACGUGGGUGAUCUGCCCUGCACUUCGGGAUAAGCCUGGGAAACUGGGUCUAAUACCGGAUAGGAGCCAUUUUUAGUGUGAUGGUUGGAAAGUUUUUUCGGUGUAGGAUGAGCUCGCGGCCUAUCAGCUUGUUGGUGGGGUAAUGGCCUACCAAGGCGGCGACGGGUAGCCGGCCUGAGAGGGUGGACGGCCAAAUGGGGACUGGGAUACGGCCCGGACUCAUACGGGGGGAAGGGGGGGGGAAUUUGGCACAAUGGGCGCAAGCCGGAUGGAGGGACGCCGGGGGGGGGAUGACGGCCUUCGGGUUGUAAACUCCUUUCGCUAGGGACGAAGCUUUUGUGACGGUACCUAGAUAAGAAGCCCCGGCUAACUACGU